AGUCGAGGGGUACAGGGGAGCUUGCUUCCGCUGACGACCGGCGCACGGGUGAGUAACGCGUAUGCAACCUACCUCAAACAGGGGGAUAGCCCAGGGAAACUUGGAUUAAUACCUCAUAAUAUGUAUCGAUCGCAUGAUUGAUAUAUUAAAGUUCCGGCGGUUUGAGAUGGGCAUGCGUGCCAUUAGAUAGUUGGUGAGGUAACGGCUCACCAAGUCAGCGAUGGCUACGGGGUCUUAAAGGAUGGUCCCGCACACUGGUACUGAGACACGGACCAGACUCCUACGGGAGGCAGCAGUGAGGAAUAUUGGUCAAUGGACGCAAGUCUGAACCAGCCAUGCCGCGUGCAGGAAGACGGCCCUAUGGGUUGUAAACUGCUUUUAUAUGGGAAUAAUGGUUUCUACGUGUAGAGAUUUGAAGGUACCGUAUGAAUAAGCAUCGGCUAACUCCGUGCCAGCAGCCGCGGUAAUACGGAGGAUGCAGGCGUUAUCCGGAUUUAUUAGGUUUAAAGGGUGCGCAGGCGGCCCGGUAAGUCAGUGGUGAAAGAUUGCAGCUUAACUGUAAAAUUGCCAUUGAAACUGUCGGNCUUGAAUUUGGUAGAGGUAGGCGGAAUGUGUANUGUAGCGNNGAAAUGCUUANAUAUUACACAGAACACCGAUUGCGUAGGCAGCUCACUAAACUGUUACUGACGCUCAUGCACGAAAGCGUGGGGAGCGAACAGGAUUAAAUACC
rnacentral:rRNA from 1 species